GAUGAACGCUGGCGGCGUGCCUAAUACAUGCAAGUCGAGCGAACGGACGAGAAGCUUGCUUUUCUGAUGUUAGCGGCGGACGGGUGAGUAACACGUGGAUAACCUACCUAUAAGACUGGGAUAACUUCGGGAAACCGGAGCUAAUACCGGAUAAUAUUUUGAACCGCAUGGUUCAAAAGUGAAAGACGGUCUUGCUGUCACUUAUAGAUGGAUCCGCGCUGCAUUAGCUAGUUGGUAAGGUAACGGCUUACCAAGGCAACGAUGCAUAGCCGACCUGAGAGGGUGAUCGGCCACACUGGAACUGAGACACGGUCUAGACUCCUACGGGAGGCAGCAGUAGGGAAUCUUCCGCAAUGGGCGAAAGCCUGACGGAGCAACGCCGCGUGAGUGAUGAAGGUCUUCGGAUCGUAAAACUCUGUUAUUAGGGAAGAACAUAUGUGUAAGUAACUGUGCACAUCUUGACGGUACCUAAUCAGAAAGCCACGGCUAACUACGUG
rnacentral:rRNA from 1 species